rnacentral:lncRNA from 10 species
UUCAGGAGAAGCAGACAUGAAAAAUAAGUGGCUGAAGAUAAAGUAGGAAAGAUGAUUGAUUGAAUAAAGGACAGAAAAGGGAUCAAGAGCAUAGAAGAAAACAUUUGGAUUAGGCAAGAAGAUAAGGACGGGAGGCGGGAGCGAGGAAUGCAUAUUCUGUGGAUCUGUCCAUAAGCAAAAGCAGGAAUGAAGAAUGAAGAAAUUGAAGCUCCAAUACAGCAGCUAACUUGUGUGGUAUCACACAGCUGGUUGACUUGCCCAAAACCUUCACAUUUCCUUCCAGUGCUGAGAGGUGGAGCUAUUGGGUGAUGAAAAGGAUAAGGGUGGCCUACAAGAGGGAAUUGUUCUUCCAGAGUGGGUUUCAAGACAUGGGGAUAUUUGCAGAGGGAGUGCAGAGACACCCAGUGGGGGCUCUGUCCCCUGACUCAGUGCAUGGCCCACUGGCUUCUGAGUUCUACCUCCCCUGAAGUGCUGCACCCCAGCUGGAGACAGGGAGAUCCACCUCCUCAUUCCCACAGGCCACCGCCCCCACCCACAGCAGAAGGGGAAGAAUCAAGGAGUGGCAACCUCCACAUCAGGAUGCCCUUGGGACCUGGAUCAGUAUUGGCAAGAGUCUGUCUGUUUUGAAUGAAGUGUUUUGAGUUUUUCUAGCAACUUGGCUGGUAGCUACUGUUUCUAGCAGCCAUCAGCAGACCAGACAGUAGCACAUCAGUAGGGGAUCCACUUGCAUGCAUCUCCUUGGGCUCACCAUUAGGGGUUGCAUGCAAGCUUCAAUGACACAACCAUCAUGUGAAAGGUUAAGAGUUUUUAGUGCAUACAGACCCUGGGGGGGUUACACACCAUGCCUGGAGGACACACACAGACACACACACACACACGACACGGUCAGCAAGCUCAGGCAGAGAGAGAAGGGACCCAGGGGCCAACGCCUUUACUGGGUACAGGGCAUUAUCCAAACAGAUUUCCUGCAGGGAGUUUUAAUUGGUGGGUUUAAAGCAAGCAGGUACUAGUUCCAGGAGGUCACGCUGUGACUGAAAGGUGGUCACUUUGAGUUCGAGGGCCAAUGUCUGAAUGGUCUGUCAUUUGCAGGAACAUGAAUAGAACUGGAAAUCAUUAUGUUAAGUGAAAUAAGCCAGGCACAGAAUGACAAAUAUUGCAUGUUCUCACUUAUAUGUGGGAGCUAAAAUAGUUGAUCUCAUGGAGGUAGAGAGUAGAAUGAUGGUUCCCAGAAGCUGGGAAGGGGGUGCAUGUGGGGAACAGGGUAGAGAAAUAAAGAAAGAUUGGUUAAUGGGUACAAACAUACAGUUAGAUGGAAGGAAUGAGUUCUGGCGUUCAAUACCACAGUAGGGUAACAAUGGUAUAUUGUAUAUUUCAAAAUAGCGAGAAAAUAGAGAAUGUGGAAUAUUUGAAAUAUUCAAUAGAGAAUAUUUGAAAUACAUGUAUACAAUGUGUGAAUAUUUGAAAUACAUGUAUACAAUGAAUCAUCACACAUUGUAUACCUGUAUUAAAAUAUUACAUGUAUUCCAUAAAAUGUAUAAUAUUAUGUACCAGUAAAAAACAGAAUGAAUGUUUCGUUUAAAGAAAGCAG